rnacentral:sRNA from 1 species
AAAUAUCAUCUCCGGAUCGUGACCACGGAUGUACUGGCACGGUUCGUUGAGAUGGCAGGGAAGGUCGGGUUAGCCCGGCCUUUUUUAUU